rnacentral:rRNA from 1 species
CUACGGGGUGCAGCAGUGGGGAAUUUUGCGCAAUGGGGGAAACCCUGACGCAGCAAUACCGCGUGAGUGAAGAAGGCCUUUGGGUCGUAAAGCUCUUUUCUUGGGGAAGAUAGUGACGGUACCCAAGGAAUAAGCACCGGCUAACUCCGUGCCAGCAGCCGCGGUAACUACGGAGGGUGCAAGCGUUGUUCGGAUUUACUGGGCGUAAAGGGCACGUAGGCGGCACAGCAAGUUAAGGGUGAAAUCCCGGGGCUCAACUCCGGAACUGCUCUUAAAACUGCUGAGCUAGAGAUAGUCAGAGGCGGGUGGAAUUCCAGGUGUAGAGGUGAAAUUCGUAGAUAUCUGGAGGAACACCGGUGGCGAAGGCGGCCCGCUGGGGCUAUUCUGACGCUAAGGUGCGAAAGCGUGGGGAGCAAACGGGAUUAGAUACCCCAGUAGUC